rnacentral:tRNA from 1 species
GGAUUUGGGUGCAAAAUGGAUAGCGCGGGACGCCUCCUAAGCGUCAGGCCAAGGGUUCAAAUCCCUUCGAGCCCG